GACAGAGGGGGCAGGCGUUGCUCGGAAUUACUGGGCGUAAAGGGCGCGUAGGCGGGAUGGCAAGUCGGUCGUGAAAUCCCUCGGCUCAACCGAGGAACGUCGAUCGAUACUGCUGUUCUUGAGGAUUGCAGAGGAGACUGGAAUUCCCGGUGUAGCGGUGAAAUGUGUAGAGAUCGGGAGGAACACCGGUGGCGAAGGCGGGUCUCUGGGCAAUUCCUGACGCUGAGGCGGCGAAAGCGUGGGGAGCAAACGGG
rnacentral:rRNA from 1 species